rnacentral:rRNA from 1 species
UGCAGAAUCCCGUGAACCAUCGAGUCUUUGAACGCAAGUUGCGCCCGAAGCCUUUAGGCCAAGGGCACGCCUGCCUGGGCGUCA